AAGUAAUUAAUUUAAUUGGUAGAAUAGUUCAUUUACAUUGAAAAUAUUAUUGGUUCAAAUCCAAUAUUACUUA
rnacentral:tRNA from 1 species